GAAUUGACGGGGCCCGCACAAGCGGUGGAGCAUGUGGUUUAAUUCGAUGCAACGCGAAGAACCUUACCUGGGCUUGACAUCCCGGGAAUCUCCUGGAAACAGGGGAGUGCCCUUCGGGAACCCGGUGACAGGUGCUGCAUGGCUGUCGUCAGCUCGUGUCGUGAGAUGUUGGGUUAAGUCCCGCAACGAGCGCAACCCUUGUCUUUAAUUGCCAUCAUUUAGUUGGGCACUUUAAAGAGACUGCCGGUGUUAAGCCGGAGGAAGGUGGGGAUGACGUCAAGUCCUCAUGGCCUUUAUGCCCAGGGCUACACACGUGCUACAAUGGGCGGUACAAAGAGAAGCAACCUCGUGAGAGUGAGCAAAUCUCAAAAAGCCGUUCUCAGUUCGGAUUGAAGUCUGCAACUCGACUUCAUGAAGUCGGAAUCGCUAGUAAUCGCGGAUCAGCACGCCGCGGUGAAUACGUUCCCGGGUCUU
rnacentral:rRNA from 1 species